GCCCGGGUGGUGGAAUUGGUAGACACGCUACUUUGAGGGGGUAGUUCGUAACUGAGUAAGAGUUCAAAUCUCUUUCCGGGCACCA
rnacentral:tRNA from 1 species